rnacentral:rRNA from 1 species
UACGUAGGUUCCGAGCGUUAUCCGGAUUUACUGGGCGUAAAGCGUGCGUAGGCGGUUAUUUAAGUCAGAUGUGAAAGCCCUGAGCUUAACUUAGGAAUUGCUUUGGAAACUGGAUGACUAGAGUCCAGUAGAGGAGGGUGGAAUUCCAUGUGUAGCGGUGAAAUGCGUAGAUAUGUGGAGGAACACCGGUGGCGAAGGCGGCUCUCUGGAAUGUAACUGACGCUCAGGUGCGAAAGCGUGGGGAGCAAACAGG